CGGGCCAUGGUGCGCUGGCAAAGGGCCUCGCCCGGCCGGGACCCCCCGCACUAUUCCUGUCGCCCAACUUCUGCCGAUCAGGAAGAAAACAAGUUGCCACACCUGAUGGUACUUCCUGUAGAGUCCACACGGUGUGGGCUGUUCCUCUUUCUCCGUUCACACAUCGGUACACUGUGUUUGCCUGGAAGAUCAAUCCUGGGCCCAACAUAUUGAUGCGAUCACGGAGAGCGCACACCAGCAGCUCUCAUCUAUUUGGUGUUUCAGGAGAUUUGGUUUGUCACCAGAGACAGCCGCAAACAUCUACAGAUGUACUGUGGAGAGAAUUCUAACUGGUUGCAUCACCAUGAUAUACGGAGGGAGCCACUGCACAGGAUUGGCCGUCCAGACGACUUCAAAAGGCAAUGCCUCACAAAGGCAGCAUCCAAUGUUAAGGACCCCCACCACCCAGGGCAUGCCUUCUUCUCAUUGCUAUCAUCAGGAACUACGUUGAGUGAAGUCCGGGCAGGUGGGGGUCAUCAGCUGAGUUUAGCAGCUCAUCUUGGAGAAGGAAAACUCUGAUCUCAAACCUCCGCUGCCUUGCGGCAAUACCCAGUCAUGGAGAAGGCUUCCGGAGCAAAUCUCAAGGGAAAGAUCUAGAGCUGGAGCCCCUAAGUUGAAGUUUAAUUGGCAUUCAACCACACAUGAAUACAGCUGAUAAAACAGCAUUCCUGUUGUAAGGCAGUCCUACGUUGAGUUCAACGGUGACUGGCAACUCCUGCGACACGCUGGUGCCCAGCUGUAUCGGUCUCCUUUGGGUCCACCAGCUGUAGGAGAGGGGGAGCCUGCCGCGUGGGCAACAGCUUGCUCUCCGUAUCGCACUGCUCUGGCUUGUGGAACGUGUCGACAGCAAGGCGCAACUUCUAUGGUUGACCCCGACCAAUGGGAGGGUCUCAAA